AUGCCGGCGCUGCGAGACCGCCGAAGUAGUUGCCAUGGUGGGUUAUGCAUCAACGCUGCGCUGCGUGGAUUGAUGGGUGUGGAGGAUGUAAGACAGAGGAGAAAGACGAUGGGGGCUGCGAUUGCUGGGCCAUAUUUGACUCGCGUGAUGCUUGGGAACCCACCACAGAGCUUUGACGUUCUCAUCGACACGGGAAGUAGCCUACCGUGGAUUGGUUGUGACACAGCGCGACUUCCUACACGAGUUUUUUACCCUUCACCGUCAACAUCGGUACUCGGUUGCUCAGAUCAGCGGUGCCAGAGUCUGGAGAAUGCGAGGAAUGCACAGUGCAACACCUCCAAUAAUAGGUGCGCUUAUGAUCUCGGGUAUGGCAAUGGGGAUGGUGCCACAGCUUCGAGCGCCGUCGGCUAUUAUAUAUCUGAUUUAGUGCACCUGAACGGCCCUUCUACUCCUGCACGCAUUGUCUUCGGGUGUACUACUUCGUGGUCUGGGCAACUGACACGUGGUGUAUUCGACGGAAUUUUUGGCUUGUCGCCUUUUGGGAUGUCGUUUAUUUCACAGCUAUACUCCCUUGGACUCUCUGGCAACGUAUUCACUCUCUGCAUGCAUAGUCCAACUGGUGGCGGAAUUCUUGCCUUUGGUGAAGCCCUCGAGCCUGGCUUGACCUACACACCCCUUUUGCCAUCGCCGCAAUAUUACCAAGUGAAUCUACAGAGCAUAGCUGUAAAUGGGCAGACACUCCCCAUUGACAGCUCCGUGUUUGGACCCUCACCCAGUAAUUUUACCUUCGUAGAUUCGGGAACAACGCUCGCAUUUCUCGCAGAUGGAGCAUAUGAUCCGUUUAUUAACGCUAUAAGGGCUGCAACCCCUCCGUCUGCACUUCCGUUCACCAGGGAAAAUGGCGAAAUUUGUUUUUCCACUUCCACCAGUAUUGACUCUGCUUUCCCGUCCGUGGAACUAGACUUUGUGGGCGGUGCCAAAAUGUUUCUGUAUCCUCACAACUACAUGUAUUAUGUUAAGCCUUCAGUGUAUUGCAUUGGCUGGCUUAGGAACACGGGGAGACAAGUCACUUUACUUGGAGAUAUCGUGCUCGUAGACAAGAUUCUUGUCCAUGAUUUGGAGAAGAAGCGCCUGGGCUGGAUGAACUAUGAUUGUUCUCAGCCUAUCAAUGUCACUACUGCGCGUGGGAAGAAAUACACUAACUCUGGGCAGUCGUUGCACAGUAUCACGACAACUUUUACAGUUGUGCUCGUAGUUGUCAUAUAUAUCACUCUGCUCACCUAG
rnacentral:rRNA from 1 species